rnacentral:rRNA from 1 species
CACUGUUUAACCAAAAACAUGUCUUUUUGUUAAUAAUUUAAAGUCUAAUCUGCCCACUGAUAUAUUUAUUAAAGGGCUGCAGUAUUUUGACUGUACAAAGGUAGCAUAAUCAUUAGUCUUUUAAUUGGUGACUUGUAUGAAAGAUUGGAUGAAAUAUAAACUGUCUCUUUUAUAAAAAAAAAUUGAAUUUAAUUUUUUAAUUAAAAAGUUAAAAUUAUUUAAAAAGACGAGAAGACCCUAUAGAGUUUUAUAAUUUAUUUUGUAAAUAUUUUUAUUUUUAUAUUUUUAUAAUUUUAAAUUAUUUUGUUGGGGUGAUAAAAAAAUUUAAUUACUUUUAAUAGUUUACAUUAAUAAGUGAUUAAAUGAUCCAAUUUUAUUGAUUAAAAGAAAAAAUUACCUUAGGAUAACAGC